CACUUUUUGUGGCUAGCCCGUUCGCGGGCUAGCCACUAUGAUACGGGAUGAGCGGUGGUGGUCGGUCAACGAUGUCUGUCCGGAUUGUCGUGAAAUUAUCGUGAGCGGAAGUGAGGCCGACAGUAUGGCGAUCGUUUGUUUCGUGGUUUCGGUUAUCAUCGGAAAUUUGGCGGAAGUGAUGAGGCCCGACAGUUUGACGAUCGGUUAUUUCGGUUUUCAUCGGAAAUUUUUGAACUUCAUGCCUGAUAAACAUUUCAUGCAAACAAAUAUUUUCGUUUUGAGGUCUUUUCGACAGCUGCUGUUUAAAAAAAUACGAAAAUUUUGCGAACGAUAAGAGAAGUUCUACAAAAGGUAAGUUAGGAGAAAUCAAGGAGAUUUUGAUCACGCCUGAUAUAAAGCUUUAUAUAGUGAGUUUAUAAUCCUGUUUAUAAUCAAACGUUCUUGCACAGAUCUUGAAUUUUUAUCCAUUAUGUGGGUAAAUUUAUAAGAAGCAAGCCCAUUGUUUACAUAUUUUACAACGAUACUAAAACCGCCCUAUCCACUUGCAGGUAUAAAACUACAAUUAACACAGAAAACAGGCGGGACUAUUUUAUGAAUUUAUGCUAAUAUAGUCUAUUGUAGUCACUAGCCUGGAAGCUCAGUCUGUUUACAUACAGUUGAAGGAUCUUCUAGAUGGAAGUAAUUGAGUGAAAAUGUAUUAUUUUACAUUCAUUAGACCUAUUAAACCAGGAAAUGCAACUGUAGGUGCAGUUUAUUUUUGGAUAUCUAGUCCAGAUGUAAAUAACAUAUAUCUGAUCUAGGAUCAGCAGGGACGUAGAGACACGGGCGUGUGUGUGUGUGUGUGUGUGUGGGGGGGGGGGGUUGUAAACCCCACAACUGUGAAACUCAGGUAAAACUCAUGUACAUUGUAAAUUUUGACAUUUUCAGGUCAACUUUGUGUAACAAAGUCGUUAUUUUUGUAAAAUGAUGACCAUUUGACAUCCGGCACCCCACCCCAAACUUCAGAUGCUUUGCUACGUCUCUGAACAUUAGUGCAAUCACCAUACAACACUGACCCUUGCAGUUACGAGGGUAUAUAUGAAGAAGAAAACCCACAGCCAUGUGAUGAGGUCAUAUCGACACGUUUCAACAUUUCUUUUCAGCACUUAAUAACAGCAGUGUCAAUUGAGUAGCAUGUUCAUACUCUUAUUGCCACAGUUAAAUGUUGUUUAACCCAAUGAGCUGCAAUGUGCCCCAGUGCACCCUACUUAUUUCUUUUACUUGUCUAACGCCAGACGAUUUUACCCGUCAAUGGGGAAGCUCUGCUGCUUAAUGGGUUAAAUUUAUACCUGCAUCAGUUACAAUGUGUCAGUCUUGUGAGCUGCCAGUAAAUAUUUGGUUCUUAAUUUUAAACAAUUUGCAGAUGAAAGCACAAUUCAAAAUCAUAGUGAUGCAU